GAUCCACUCAUUGACCAAGCAGUGGCUAUCAAGUUACUGCUGCGCAAGGCUGCAGAGUACUAAAUUGGGAAAUGGCUGAGGUCUAAAUCCAAAACAAGCAAACACUCAACUACAUUCUUCUUUCUCGCAAAACUCAUGAUAUAAGAUUAGCAACUGUGUUAGAAGAUAUUCACCAAUUAAAUUUGUUGUUUUAUAUGUAAUCCUUUUGUUUACUUAGUAAGAAAUAUAAUAAUAUAUGUAACAGGAAAUAUAAUUGCAAUCGCCCUUGGGACUUGGGACUUGGGAGUUGGGAGACUAUCUGGUUCUGACACUAUACAAAAAUAAUCGGAAUCGCCCUCAGCAUAAAGCUUAGGUAAAGGGGGACCUAUUCUGGACUGUAGAUGAAGAGAUUCCUUUUGCAUGUGCAACUUCGGUGGUUGUGGUGCUAGUUUCUCAUCCAUGGUGCACAAAACUACAAACGAAACGAUCAGGUAGGUACUAAUGCUUGAAGGCUUUUCCCUUGAUUUUGACUUGCAUGUGAGAUACAUUUUCUGGACCAUUAGAAAGUUUUGCAUCUUAGAAGAGCAAAUUGUCACAGAAUAAUAUAUAUGUUACUGGAAAAAAUUCACUACUUUAGUAUUCUAAUCUUUAGACUUUUAUUUCACCCUCAGUUUACAUUCCCCUUGUCUUGGCGCAAUGACAACCUACUUUGAUGGAUGGUACUAGCAAAUAAGCGAGGGGCCAUGUGGUUUGGCUUCUGAUUAGAUAUUGGGUCUGUUUCAUUCGAUUUCUGGACCUUUCGUUCUCUCUUUAUCCCUUCCUCAUCUAGCUGCUACUCCAAUCAAUAAUUAAGUCACUACCAGUUAGAAUUUUGAAAUACUAGCAGAAGAAGCUAAUGAAUGUGGUUUAAAACUUUAUAAAGUGACAUUGGUCUGCCUUUCCUCCUCCUGUACAGAAAUUAUCUCAAGAAACUUGAUGCUUUUCCGGUUCUGACUGCAUACUUUUUAUGGUCGGUCUGAAAAACCUUCUGUAUUAGUAUAAAAAUACUAGUACUAGUUUCUAGGAAUUAACUGAAAACGUCGACGGAGAAGAUGAGAAAAGAAAGGGGAUAGGAUUACCGACGGCAUCCAAGGAGAAGUAAACAGGCGGAGGAGGUUUAGUUUAACGUAGGGAGGAGAACUAAGGUUACUCUUUGUAGGUGGAUGAGUAGUGAGGAGGUUGCGAAGGACACCAUGAAAGAGCCUACAUGCUCUCCUCACCUUCGUCCACCGCCACCACUACUAUUAUCUUCUUCUCAUCCCAUUACUUUCUUCCAUUAGUAUUGCAAAAGCUCAAGCUUCUUCUCCGGCAACUCUCAGAAAAUGAUCAAUCUUUUGAUGAGUUUUAGCCGGUACGUGCUUGCUUAAGGUAACAGGGGGACUCUACUUUUUUACACCAUCGAAGCGGGUCUGUGUCUGUUAUUUGGACACUCUUGCUAUUCAUCUUGGUCUGCUUAGCCCAGUCCAUUAAAUGAAAAGAUUGUUUUGGGCUUUUCUGACCGCAUGUGCUACUGCUACACACAUAACCUUCCCCCAACGAUUGCCUAAUGCGCUUUACCUUUUAAAAAUGGGACAAUUUCACAAAUCUCCCCUGAGGUUUAUGACAAUUUCACUCGAAUCCCCUCAAGUUUUACAAACUACACUAACCUCCC
rnacentral:lncRNA from 1 species